UCAUUUCAAGUGACUUAGCCACACGUG
rnacentral:piRNA from 1 species